rnacentral:rRNA from 1 species
AGUCGAACGUGAAAGCACUUCGGUGUGAGUAGAGUGGCGGACGGGUGAGUAACGCGUGGGAAUCUGCCCAGUAGUGGGGGACAACUACCGGAAACGGUAGCUAAUACCGCAUACGCCCUAUGGGGGAAAGGCUUCGGCCGCUAUUGGAUGAGCCCGCGUCAGAUUAGCUAGUUGGUAGGGUAAAGGCCUACCAAGGCAACGAUCUGUAGCUGGUCUGAGAGGACGAACAGCCACACUGGGACUGAGACACGGCCCAGACUCCUACGGGAGGCAGCAGUGGGGAAUAUUGGACAAUGGGCGAAAGCCUGAUCCAGCAAUGCCGCGUGUGUGAAGAAGGCCUGCGGGUUGUAAAGCACUUUCAGUUGGGAAGAUGAUGACGUUACCAACAGAAGAAGCACCGGCUAAAUCCGUGCCAGCAGCCGCGGUAAUACGAAUGGUGCGAGCGUUAAUCGGAAUUACUGGGCGUAAAGCGCGCGUAGGCGGCUAAGUCAGUCAGAAGUGAAAGCCCCGGGCUCAACCUGGGAAUUGCUUUUGAUACUGCUUGGCUAGAGUUUGGUAGAGGAUAGUGGAAUUCCAGGUGUAGCGGUGAAAUGCGUAGAUAUCUGGAGGAACAUCAGUGGCGAAGGCGACUGUCUGGACCAAAACUGACGCUGAGGUGCGAAAGCGUGGGUAGCAAACAGGAUUAGAUACCCUGGUAGUCCACGCCGUAAACGAUGUCAACUAGCCGUCGGGUCUAUUUACAGACUUGGUGGCGCAGCUAACGCGAUAAGUUGACCGCCUGGGGAGUACGG